CCUUGCUGACUUCUAGUGCAAGAUUGGAAGUGCUUGAACUUAUAGACUGAGAGGGGGAAGAUGAUGAUGACAACAAUGACGAUAAUGUUGAUUCUGGCUUCUCGCAAAAAUUUCUCCUUGAUUUUCCAACCUACAAUAAAAGAUGACUCCAUAUAGAUA